AGCUAGCAUGGCGGGUGUUCAAGCACCGAGCAAUCCUUAUGGGGUUGUGCAGUGCUUGUUCUGAGAUCAUACCGUUCAAACUUGAUCUGGAUAAUUCCAGCGAAAGGACAAAGCUGCUUCUUGAUG
rnacentral:ncRNA from 1 species